AGCCUUUUUCAGAAUUUUCAAGCAAUGAAAACAAUUGGUGAGAACAGUGGAACCCGAGAGUAUGUAGCAGAUAAAUUUUCUUUUUUUUACACUAAUUCUAUGAUAGUGACAACAAAGGGACUGGAUCAUGAACUUCCUAGAGUUUUGACUACACAAAUAAUUAUCGAUCUCUCAAGGAAUAGAUUUGAAGGUCAUAUUCCAAACAUUAUUGGAGAUCUCGUUGGACUUCGUACCUUGAACUUAUCCCAUAAUGUCUUGGAAGGUCAUAUACCAGCAUCAUUGCAAAAUUUAUCAGUACUCAAAUCAUUGGAUCUCUCAUCUAACAAAAUCAGCGGAGAAAUUCCGCAGCAGCUUGCAUCCCUCACAUUUCUUGCAGUCUUGAAUCUCUCUCACAAUCAUCUUGUUGGAUGCAUCCCUAAAGGAAAACAAUUUGAUACGUUUGAGAACAGUUCAUACCAAGGAAAUGUUGGAUUAUGAGGAUUGCCACCCUCAAGAGAUUGUGGCCGUGAUGAUAGGGUACCACAAGCGACAAUUCCAGUUGAGCUAGAUCAAGAAGAAGAAGAAGAUUCACCAAUGAUCAAUUGGCAGGCGGUUCUCAUGGGUUACGGUUGUGGACUUAUUAUUGGAUUGUCCGUAUAAUAUGUAAUGUCUUCAACUCAAUAUCCAAAAUGGUUUUCGAGGAUGGUUGUAAAAUUGGAAGACAAACUUAUUACAAGAAUGAAAAAGUAGAGGAAAAGAUAUUAGUGUAUAGUUACCUCCAGGUAUUCAACUUGAUCAUUGUCCUUCAGAAGAUUAUUUUUUAUAUAUCGAUGAAAUUAUCGACCUCCUUCAUCCUCAAAGCUCUUAACUUUAACUCUUCAUUUUUGUAAAUUUCAGGAUUCAAGAGUUCCGAGUUCCGAGUUGCUGGGGAUGCAGAUAAAGCCUUUUUAUCGUUCAUAGUUUGUAAUGUUUCCAUGAAGUGUUUCUUAUCCUAUGAAUAAAUAUUUUGUUUUCAUUUGUCUAUGGCAUGCAGCUAUGUUCCAUCACUAAAAACAUUGUAUUUCUCUCAACUCUUUUGUCACAUGAUAUCAUAACACAAACAAAGAACACUUGAAUCAAAACCUGGAAGAAACAUCAGGAAACCAUGAAUCAAAGUUGCAGUAGUCUACUAUAUUAACUUUUUUCGUUGAAGCACAACCGACAUAUCAUGAGAAAGAGACUGUGAUCUCAGAAAUGAGAAUUUACCAAUCCACAACCCUGCAGUAUCUACUGGAACUUUUUUCUGUCGCUUCUUCUUGCCCCAAUCUCAGGAACAUUUCAUUCUUGACUGGUCCUUGAUGCAAUAAAUUAAAUCGUGAGUGGAAUUUGUUAAUCUAGUAGCUAAUUAAUGCUCGAAGAAGAUGAAUGCUAAUUCAGGGACUUAGCCGAGAAUUAUAGCUGAAAGAGAAAUGUAGAAGAAGAAGAGAUUGAUCUUAUUUCAUGAAUGAAUAACAUUUUGCAAUCAUAGACAGAGGAAUGAAACUAAUGGCCUAACGAACACUCUGUGAAUAGUGAACAGUACUAACCCAUACCGUGAAGUCUCCAGGAUACAAAUAUUUGGCCUUCGAAAGCAAACUUUUUCUCUCUAAAUACAAGCUUUAUUUUCAUAGUUUCUGAUGUUUCAUCUUACAUUUUUUUAUUACUACCUGUUGUUUCUUUAGCCUCGAUUACUGUAUUAUCUUGUUGUUUUUUCUGCUUGUUGCUACUAUGCCUUCUUUUACAUCGAAAAUAACCUCUCUAACUUCAAGGUAGUGGUAAGGUCUGCGUACACAGUAUACUCCCAAGACAGCCAGGCCCCACUGUCUUCCAUCAGCAGCUCAAUUCUUGUUUCUGUCAAGUUGUAUGGUGUGUGUUAAGAGAGCAAAGCAAAGAUACUUUUUGUGACAUUCAAACAAAAUGCAUGUGUUAUUACAAGUGGUGGGACUUUGUGUUUGAAUCUUUCUAUGCUAUCUUAUUUAUCUUCCCUUCCAUCACUCGUAAACAUACAUUUCAAAGGGAUCAAAAUUGAAUCAAAUUAUUCUACAUGCCUAAAUUCCUUUAUUAUUGUGUUAUCAAAUAACUACAUCAACUCUAAAAUACUCAUAUAUAUGAGUAGUAAUUUUCAUUUGAAGAGUACUUUUAUGGAACUAUUUAGUUGUGUAAAUUUUAUUUCAAGAUAAGCAAAAGAAGUCGAUAUGUGAAUUUACUCCGAAAAUUUUAAGAAGUGACCUUCAUUUUAAAUUUUCUUUGGAACGAAAAAAUGGAUGGAUGGACCUAAGAUCGUGCUGAAAGACGGAGUCGAUGGACAACAUGUAAAUAUCAUAACUUUUACUAUUUUAAUUAACAUUUGAAUUGAGCUUGAUUUUCAUUGGAACAAACUCUAAUUCUUUUGAUAAAAAUUAAAUUUGCUAACAAAUACAAUGACGAAUGCUUUAACAUGUGUAUCCUAAGGAGGAGAGAAAGCAAAGUAAAAAAAUUAUUCUUGUUUUUUUGUUUUGUAAUAGAAAGUGAACCAAAACAAAGACCUUUUAUGUGACCUCUUCGUCUAUAAUAAGCACAUGUGAUUGUCAACUUCAAAUUGACAGAAAAUGACUACUUAACCAAUAGAGAUUUUUUUUUGCUUAAUUUGUGCUAUAUAUACGUCAUCAAAAUUGUUGAAUAGACACAAAAGCAAACAUUUCCUGAUUUCUUCACUGCCAACUUAAUUAGUUUUUGACCAUUUUAGUGAAGAAAUGGGUUGUGUAAAAGUUGUGUUUUUUAUGCUAUAUCCCUUUCUCUGUCAACUUGCUUUCUCCUCAUCCUCACCUCAUUUGUGCCCCCGAAGAUCAAGCUCUUGCUCUUCUACAAUUCAAGAACAUGUUUACCGUGAGACCUACUUCUUAUGGUUGUUACGACUAUACAGACCAAAGGAUGAAGUCAUAUCCAAGAACUCUUUUCUGGAACAAGAGCACCGAUUGCUGCUCAUGGGAUGGAGUUCAUUGUGACGAGACAACAUGACAAGUGAUUGAGCUUGAUCUCCGUUGCAGCCAACUUCAAGGCAAGUUUCGUUCCAAUAGUAGCCUCUUUCAACUCUUCAAUCACAAAAGGCUUGAUUUGUCUUAUAACGAUUUCUUUGAAUCGCUCAUUUCACCUAAAUUUGGUGAGUUCUCUAGAUUGACGCAUCUUGAUUUGUCGAGUUCACGUUUUACAGGUCUAAUCCCUUGUGAAAUCUCUCAUCUUUCUAAAUUAUACGUUCUUCGUAUAUGGACUGUAUUUCCAUAUGGCCUUAGACUUGGGCCUCACAAUUUUGAACUACUCCUUAAGAACUUGACUCAAUUAAGAGAUCUCGACCUUUACUCUGUGAACAUCUCUUCCACUAUUCCUCUGAAUUUCUCUUCUUAUUUAACAAAUUUACAGCUUCAACACACACAAUUUCGUGGGGUAUUUCCCGAAAGAGUUUUCCACCUUUCCGAUUUAGAAUUCCUUGAUUUAUCUCACAAUCCCCAGCUCACAGUUAGGUUUCCCACAACCAAAUGGAAUAGCAGUGCAUCACUCAUGUACUUAAAUCUCUAUGAUGUGAAUAUUAAUGGUAGGAUACCUGAAUCAUUUAGCCAUCUAACUUCACUUCAUAUGUUGAACAUGGGUAAUACUAAUCUGUCAGGGCCCCUUCCUAAACCUCUAUGGAAUCUCACCAACAUAGAGAGUUUGUUCCUUGGUAGUAACCAUCUUGAAGGACUAAUUUCCCUGUUAUCGAGAUUUGAAAAGCUCAAGGAAUUAUUACUUGGAAAUAACAAUUUUGAUGGCCGACUUGAGUUCUUAUCCUUUAACAGAAGCUGGAUGCAACUCGAUACCUUAGAUUUUUCGUCCAAUUACCUAACUGGUCCAAUUCCAUCCAACGUAAGUGGACUGCGAAACCUAAAACAGCUCUUCUUGUCAUCAAGCUACUUGAAUGGGACUAUACCUUCCUGGAUAUUCUCCCUUCCUUCACUGAUAGCGUUAGACUUAAGCAAUAACACUUUCAGUGGAACAGUUCAAGUCCAAAACAUUAAAUGUCGUUACUCUAAAUCAAAAUAAGCUGGAAGGUCCUAUUCCAAAGUCACUCCUAAACCAGCAGUUCCUACUAGGUCUUCUCUUUUCACACAAUAACAUCAGUGGACGUAUUGCUUCAGCUAUCUGCAAUCUGAAAACAUUGCAAGUAUUAGAUUUGAGAAGUAAAAUUUUGGAGGGAACAAUCCCACAAUGUUUGGGUGAGAUGAGUGCAGUUGAGAUUUUGGAUUUGAGCAACAAUAGUCUUAGUGGGACAAUUAAUACAACUUUUAGUAUUCGAAACCGACUCAACAUCAUUAAAUUGCAUAGUAAUAAGCUAGAGGGGAAAGUUUCACAAUCUUUGAUCAAUUGUAAAUAUUUAGAACUUCUUGAUUUAGGUAACAAUGAGUUGAAUGACACGUUUCCAAAAUGGUUGGGAGAGCUACCUCAUUUGCAGAUCUUAAAGUUGAGAUCAAAUAAGUUCUAUGGCCCUAUAAGGAUUGACAACUUGUUUGCUCAAAUUCGAGUCAUAGAUCUCUCAUCCAAUGGAUUUAGUGGAGAUUUACCAUUGAGUCUUUUUCAGAAUUUUCAAGCCAUGAAAACAAAUGGUGAGAACAAUGGAACCCGAGAGUAUGUAGCAGAUACAUUUUUUUUUUACUUACACUAAUUCUAUGAUAGUGACAACAAAGGGACUGGAUCAUGAACUUCCUGGAGUUUUGACUACACAAAUAAUUAUCAAUUUCUCAAUGAAUAGAUUUGAAGGUCAUAUUCCAAGCAUUAUUGGAGAUCUCGUUGGACUUCGUACCUUGAACUUAUCUCAUAAUGUCUUGGAAGGUCAUAUACCAGCAUCAUUGCAAAAUUUAACUGUACUCGAAUCGUUGGAUCUCUCAUCUAACAAUAUCAGUGGAGAAAUUCUGCUGCAGCUUGCAUCCCUCACAUUUCUUGCAGUCUUAAAUCUCUCUCACAAUUAUCUUGUUGGAUGCAUCCCCAAAGGAAAACAAUUUGAUACGUUUGAGAACAGUUCAUACCAAGGAAAUGAUGGAUUACGAGGAUUGCCACCCUCAAGAGAUUGUGGUCGUGAUGAUAGGGUACCACAAGAGACAAUUCCAGUUGAGCUAGAUCAAGAAGAAGAAGAAGAAGAUUCACCAAUGAUCAAUUGGCAGGCGGUUCUUAUGGGUUAUGGUUGUGGACUUGUUAUUGGACUGUCUGUAAUAUACGUAAUGUGGUCAACUCAAUAUCCAGCAUGGUUUUCGAGGAUGGAUUUAAAAUUGGAACACAGAAUUACUACGAGAAUGAAAAAGUACAAGAAAAGAUAUUAGUGAGUAGCGACCCCCAGGUAUUCAACUUGAUCUUUAUCUUUCUUAAGAUCAUUUUAUAUGUCAAUGUGUUUUCAACCUCCUUCAUCGUCAGAGCUCUUACCUUAAUUCUUUAUUUUUGAAAAUUGCAGGAUUCAAGUCUACUGAGUUGUGGGGGAUGCAGAUAAAAGUCUUUAUUUUUCAUAGUUUGUGGUGUCUCCAUAAAGUAUUUGUUAUACUAUGAAUAAAGACAUGACUUUUCUUCCUUUGAGACUCAACCAGAUUUUGUUUUCAAAUGUCUAUGGCAUAUAGAAAUAAACGGAAAUCGGACACAAACUUGAAUCUUUAAAUCAUUCAAUCAGAGUAUUUCACUCAACUCUUUCACAUAACACAAAUAUAGAACACUCGAAUUUAAGUUCAGAAACAUAAAAAUCUGUAGUUACAGAUUUCAGAAAUAUUCUUUUACAGACACAUGAUGGUCCUUUAUCAAAAGAUCGAAGGAACAUCAGGAAACCAUGGACCAAAGUUGCAGUCUGCUAUCUUUAACUUUUUUCAUUGAAGCAGUAGCAAUUAACAUAUAAUCUAGAUUCUAUUCAACCUCCUUUAUGAUAUUAGUAAGAUAAAUGAAACAGUGCUAAAUCAAGAAAUGAAGAAAGCUGUAAAGUAUUCCGCUGCUGCUUAUUAGAAUAGGCUCAGACUCUUUUGAGACAUUAGAUGGUGAACUGAUCAAAUGGACGAAAAAGGCCUAUUAUUGUGUUAAAAGGUGUAUUAGAAUAAUCUCAUAUCCAUUGGGAGGACUGUUUUGAGCCAUUAGAACCAGGUAAAAGAAUAAGUUCUGUCACAACAAAUUCUAGGAAAUAGACGCAUUAUUGAGCUUAUGCUCGAAAUCAAUUAAGGGUACGAAAAGUUCUGUCACAACAAAUUCUUAAAAGGGUAUAAUAUGCAUACACUUAUCCUAUCAAAACCUUCUUGCUUUUUUUUUUUUUUUACCUUUAAAGUUAAAGUCUAUACACAAAGUAACACUCUUAUCUUCUUUUUUUCUUAAUGCAAGACUUUGUUCAUACACCCAACCAAUUAUCAAACUACUUGAUUCAGAACAAUACAUGCCAUCCUGGAUAUCCUCCGUUCCAUCACUAAACUUUGAGGACUAUAACAAUGUGUUUCUUCCGUUCUACUCUCCGAGAAGACAAGAACAGCAGUCUCACUCUCACACUCACCUAUAAGUUCCAGGAAGAUACAAAAAAAUGUUUAAUCAGUGGUAUUGAAACUAUGAAGAACAUGCCAUGUAUGGACUUCUGCACUGUCUUCCAUCAGCAGGUCAAUUCUUGUGGAAAAUUGGCUCGAGCUGGUGCACUAUGUAGGCGCUGUAUUCAGAGUAGAUUUCCAGUCUAACCUUAAUGCAUUAGCAAAGUGACACUCCUAUUCUUAAGGUAUAAAGUUGUUAUGUUUCUUUCAAAGUUUACACACUCCUAUCCUAAACAAUUUUGUUGUGUGGUGGUCCUAUUCCUGGAAUCCAAUUAAGUUGGCAAAACAAAGAUAUUUUUUUGUCGAUAAUAACGUUGCACACAAAAUGCAUGUGUAAUGUGUUAUAUACAAGUGGUGGGACUUUGUGAUUUGACUUAAGAAUGUGAACUAUUGAUAGUUUCCGGCAUUCACUUGUGUGACACAUUGAAUGGGCAUAUGUGAUUCACAACUUCAAAUUGACUGAAAAUGACUACGUAACCAAUAGUAAAAUUCUCUUUGCUUAAUUUGUGUUAUAUAUACCUCAUCAAAAUUGUUGAAUAAACACACAAAGCAAAAUAUUUCUUGAUUUCUUCUCUACCAACUUAAUUUAGUUUUGAUCAUUUUUUAGUGCAGAAAUGGAUUGUGUAAAACUUGUAUUGUUUAUGCUAUAUACCUUUCUCGGUCAACUUAUUUUCUCCUUAUCCUUACCUCAUUUGUGCCCCGAAGAUCAAGCUCUUGCUCUUCUACAAUUCAAGAACAUGUUUCCCAUUAAUCCUAAUGCUUCUGAUUAUUGUUUUAAAUUUAAAGAGUUUCAUUCAUAUCCGAAAACUCUUACAUGGAAUAGUAGCACAGAUUGUUGCUCAUGGGAUGGAGUACAUUGUGACAAGAUGACGGGACAGGUGAUUGAGCUCAACCUCACUUGCAGCGGACUUCAAGGCAAGUUUCAUUCCAAAUUGUAGCCUCUUUCAACUUUCCAAUCUCAAAAGGAUUGAUUUGUCUUUUAAUAAUUUCACUGGAUCGCUCAUUUCACCUAAAUUUGGUGACUUCUCCAGUUUAACACAUCUUGAUCUAACAGUUACAAGUUUUUCGGGUCAAAUCCCUUCUGAAAUAUCUCAUCUUUCAAAAUUACACGAUCUUCGUAUCUCUAAUGUUUAUCCAUAUGAGCUUAGAUUCGGACCUCACAAUUUUGAAUUGCUCCUUAAGAACUUGACCCAAUUAAGAGAGCUCCACCUUCACGAUGUGAACAUCUCUUCCACCAUUCCUCUGAAUAUCUCUUCUUAUUUAACAAAUCUACGGCUUCCAUUAACAGAGUUACGUGGGGUAUUUCCCGAAAGAGUUCUCCACCUUUCCGAUUUAGAAUUCCUUGAUUUAUCAGAAAAUCCCCAGCUCACUGUUAGGUUUCCCACAACCAAAUGGAAUAGCAGUGCAUCACUCAUGUACUUAAAUCUCUAUGAUGUGAAUAUUAAUGGUAGGAUACCUGAAUCAUUUAGCCAUCUAACUGCACUUCAUGACUUGAACAUGGGUUAUUCUACUCUGUCAGGGCCUAUUCCUAAACCUCUAUGGAAUCUCACCAACAUAGAGAGUUUGUUCCUUAGUGAUAACUAUCUUGAAGGACCGAUUUCCCAGUUCUCGAGAUUUGGAAAGCUUAGGGUGUUAUACCUUGGAUAUAACAACUUCGAUGGCUGACUUGAGUUCUUAUCCUUUAACAGAAACUGGACGCAACUUGAAGUAUUAGAGUUUUCAUUCAAUAACCUAACUGGUCCAAUUCCAACUAAUGUAAGAGGACUACAAAACCUACAAUGGCUCAAAUUGUCAUCAAACCACUUGAAUGGGACUAUACCUUCCUGGAUAUUCUCCCUUCCUUCACAGACAGUGUUAAACUUGAGAAAUAACCCUUUCAGUGGAAAAAUUCAGGAGUUCAAGUCCAACACAUUGUUGGAAGUUGAUCUAAGACAAAAUCAACUAGAAGGUCCUUUACCAAAUUCACUCCUAAAACAGCCAAACCUAAAAUUUCUUCUCCUUUCACACAAUAAUAUUAGUGGACAGAUUGCUUCAACUAUCUGCAAUCUGAAAACACUAACAGCUUUGGACUUAGGAAGUAACAAUUUGGAGGGAACAAUCCCACAAUGUUUGGUUGAGAUGAAUGAAUACCUUUGGAAUUUGGAUUUGAGCAACAACAGUCUUAGUGGGACUAUCAAUACAAAUUUUAGUGUUGGAAACGAUCUCACGAUCAUUAGCUUGCAUGGGAAUAAGCUAACGGGGAAAGUCCCACGAUCUUUGAUCAAUUGCAAGUACUUGACACUUCUUGAUCUAGGUAACAAUCAGUUGAAUGACACAUUUCCAAACUGGUUGGGACACCUACCUGAUUUGAAGAUUUUAAGCUUGAGAUCAAAUAAGUUUCAUGGUCCCAUUAAAUCUUCAGGGAAUACAAACUUGUUUGCGCGGCUUCAAAUUCUGGAUCUAUCAUCCAAUGGAUUUAGUGGUAAUUUACCAAUAAGUCUUUUUGGGAAUUUGCAAGCCAUGAAGAAAUUGAUGAGCGUACAAGAACCCCAGAGUAUGUUUCUGAUCAAUAUGCUGGUUAUUAUGAUUAUUUGAUGACAAUUACAACAAAGGGGCAAGAGUAUGAUUGUGUUCAAAUUUUGGAUUCUAACAUGAUUAUCGAUCUCUCAAAGAACCGAUUUGAAGGUCAUAUUCCAAGCAUUAUUGGAGAUCUCGUUGAACUUCGUACCUUGAACUUAUCUCAUAAUGUCUUGGAAGGUCAUAUACCAGCAUCAUUGCAAAAUUUAUCUGUACUCGAAUCAUUGGAUCUCUCAUCUAACAAAAUCAGCGGAGGAAUUCCACCACAACUUGCAUCCCUCACGUUUCUUGCAGUCUUAAAUCUCUCUCACAAUCAUCUUGUUGGAUGCAUCCCCAAAGGAAAACAAUUUGAUACGUUUGAGAAUAGCUCAUACCAAGGGAAUGAUGGGUUAUGUGGACUGCCAUUCUCAAAACAUUGUGGUGGUGAUGGUAGGGUACCACAAGCGACAAUUCCAGCUGAGCAAGAUCAAGAAGAAGAAGAAGAUUCACCAAUGAUCAGUUGGCAGGCGGUUCUCAUGGGUUACGGUUGUGGUCUAGUUAUUGGACUGUCUAUAAUAUACAUAAUGUUGUCAACUCAAUAUCCAACAUGGUUUUCGAGGAUGGUAUUGAAAUUGGAACACAGAAUGAUUACGAGAAUGAAAAGGCACAAGAAAAGAUAUUAGUGAGUAGCGACCUCCAGGUAUAUAACUUGAUCUAUUUUAUUUUAUUUCUAUUUUUUUUUACCCUCCGUAGGAGCUCCCACCCCUUUUGCUCCCUUGGUGACUCGAACUCGCAACCUUCGGGUUGGAAGUGAGAGGUGCUUACCAUCCGAGCAACUCCCUCUCGUCAUUCAACUUGAUCAUUAUCCUUCAGAAGAUUAUUUUUUAUAUAUCGAUGUAAUUUCUACCUACUUCAUCCUUUAAGCUCUUAACUUUAAUUCUUCAUUUUUGAAAAUUGCAGGAUUCAAGUCUACUGAAUUGCUGGGAUGCAAUAAGACGAGUUUUUGUUUACCAAUAGUCUGUUAUAUAGUAUGUAGUAAUUUAUUCAGCCUGAUUAUUAGUUAGCUACUUCAUUUCGACUGCAAUGUUCAGUUCAUAAAUUUAUGAAGUUAUCUUAUCUUUUUGUUUUAAUUACAUCAAUAAUUUCAAUAGCAAGCUAAACGUGUACACCUUUUAAGACUCUCCUAAAAAUUGGCUUAAAUAUCCUUAUGGUGUUAAAGAUUGCUCUAAAGUCACCACUCCUUGUUAGUCGAAAAUCACACUUGUCUAAUUUCAAAUGUUUAUAUGUAAAAAGAAUCGAAGAUAUGCCUUUUUUUCUCAACUUUGAUCUGUAGAGGUAUUGAUCUUGUCGCCUCUGCUCUCUGUGCGUUCCUAUUUCUUAAUAAAUCUCUGUGACAUUAGAUACAGGCCUUGUACACCAUACCUUGUAGGAAGACAAUAACGGAUUAGUUCAAGGAGUACUAAAAGUUCUGUUAAAGAAAAUGCUUAAAAACUACAUAUGACAUCUUGUAUUAUAAAGAGAAUGCAAGCUUGAGUCUACUUCAAAUGAUCAUAAUAUAUCGGAUACUCAUUAAAUGAGCAUUCUCAAUAACAGAGCUUGGAUCAAAUCUAUAUUAUGUGCACAGAAUUAUGAAGCAUGAAUACUAGUUCACCUCAACUUUUUCCUUUUCUUUUUGCUAAGAAAAGGCAUUUUGUUGGGUUAUACACAUUUACAAGGGUGAAAAAGAUGCCACAAUUUACACCAUCCUGUAUCAAACAGUCCAGAAUCGAGACGAAGAUAACUAGCUUUAUAAAAAAUUAUUGAUAAAAAUUAUUGAUCUAGGAAAAAGAUGCAUUCUUGAGCUUAUGCUCGAAACUAAUUAAGGGAUAAUUCUCAAAGGAGUACGAAAAGUUCUGUUAUAGGAAGUUUCGUUCAUAACGUUCAAGAAUUUGAAUUACUCUGUGGGAGUAUCAAUUUGGAGGGAACAAUCCCACAAUGCCUGGGUGAGAUGAAUGAAUACCUUUGGAAUUUGGAUUUGAGCAACAACAGUCUUAGUGGGACAAUCAAUAUAAAUUUUAGUAUUGGAAACUCUUUCAGGGUCAUUAGCUUGCACGGGAAUAAGCUAACAGGGAAAGUCCCACCAUCUUUGAUCAAUUGCAAGUAUUUGACACUUCUUGAUCUAGGUAACAAUAAGUUGAAUGACACAUUUCCAAACUGGUUGGGAAACCUACCUGAUUUGCAGAUUUUAAGCUUGAGAUCAAAUAAGUUUCACGGUCCCAUUAAAUCUUCAGGGAAUACAAACUUGUUUGCGCAGCUUCAAAUUCUGGAUCUAUCAUCCAAUGGAUUUAGUGGUAAUUUACCAAUAAGUCUUUCUGGGAAUUUGCAAGCCAUGAAGAAAAUUGACGAGAGUACAAGAACCCCAGAGUAUGUUUCUGAUCAAUUUGCUGGUUAUUAUGAUUAUUUGAUGACAAUUACAACAAAGGGACAAGAUUAUGAUUGUGUUCAAAUUUUGGAUCCUAACAUGAUUAUCGAUCUCUCAAAGAACAGAUUUGAAGGUCUUAUUCCAAGCAUUAUUGGAGAUCUUGUUGGACUUUGUACCUUGAACUUAUCUCAUAAUGUCUUGGAAGGUCAUAUACCAGCUUCAUUGCAAAAUUUAUCAGUACUCGAAUCAUUGGAUCUCUCAUCUAACAAAAUCAGCGGAGAAAUUCCACAACAGCUUGCAUCCCUCACAUUCCUUGCAGUUUUAAAUCUCUCUCACAAUCAUCUUGUUGGAUGCAUCCCCAAAGGAAACCAAUUUGAUACGUUUGAGAACAGUUCGUACCAAGGGAAUGAUGGAUUAUGAGGAUUGCCACCCUCAAGAGACUGUGGCCGUGAUGAUAGGGUACCACAAGAGACAAUUCUAGUUGAGCUAGAUCAAGAAGAAGUAGAUGAUUCACCAAUGAUCAGUUGGCAGAAGGUUCUCAUGGGUUACGGUUGUGGUCUAGUUAUUGGAUUGUCUGUAAUAUACAUAAUGUGGUCAACUCAAUAUCCAGCAUGGUUUUCGAGGAUGGAUUUAAAAUUGGAACACAAAAUUACUACGAGAAUGAAAAGGCACAAAAAAAAGAUAUUAGUGUGUAGCGACCUUCAGGUAUUCAACUUGAUCUUUAUCUUUCUUAAGAUUAUUUUUUAUAUAUCAAUGUAUUUUCGACCUCCUUCAUCCUCAAAGCUCUUACCUUUAAUUCUUCAUUUUUGAAAAUUGCAGGAUUCAUGUCUACAAAGUUUCUGAAGAUUAAGAUAAAAAGCCUCUAUCUUUCAUUUGUCUAUGGCAUGUAGAAAUAAAUUCGACUGAUAAAUAGAAGUCGGACAUAAAGUUGAAUCUUUGGAUCAAUCAGAUGAUAUGUGUCAUCACUAAAAACGUAGUAUUUCACUCAACUCUUUCACAUAACAUCAUAACACAAACAUAGAACACUCGAAUUUAAGUUCAAAAACAUAAAAAUCUGAAGUUACCGAGUUCGGAAUAUUUUUUUUCAGAUUCAUGAUGGUCCUUCAUCAAAAGAUCAAAGAAACAUUACCAGGGACCAAAGUUACAGUUUUCUAUCUUUAACUCUUUUCAUUGAAGCAGCAGCAAAAAGAUUUGCAUUAUUCUCUACUCCCUGAGCCUCACAUAGACAACAUCACGUGUUUUCAACUGGAAUCUGCAUUCUUUGAAGAGUUGGAGAAAGAGCCUUCAACUCUUCCCAUCUAAGUCUCUGAUGACAGAGUUACCCGAUAUCUCUAUUGGUGGAAGGUAGACGGUACCGGUUGAAUUAAUCGAAUAGACUCAAGUUGACCUGAGCAUCACUGUUAUACAACAACAAACUAUGCCUCAGCCCCAAACAAAAACUUGCAUAGAGACCUGCAAUAAUGUUCGAAGCCCAAAAUAAGAUAGACAUAAACACACAAUUGAGUGAUAUAAUUUCUAGUGAUCGAAAUCCAUAUGGAUUUCAAACAUCAUUUAGGAAGAAAUCAAGCAGAAGCGCUUGACUAUAGGUGAGGUUUAUCGUGAUCAACUAUUGUUCAGAUUCAUUAAUUAGCAAACUGCUCCACAAUUUCAAAGUUUCGGGGCAAAGAAAAAGAUUCAUAAAAACAAAAGGGAAUACCUCGCCAAACAGACUUAGGAACCAGGUUUGUCAAGAUAUCACUGCAGCUUUCUUUACGCUGUGCUUUAAUCUCUGUGCAAAAUCCAUAUGCAGGAUCCUUUUAACUGAUUUUGAUGAGUCGAGAUUUCACAAAAAUGUAUCUGUCAAACUAUGACUUAGCUGAUGCGGCAGUUAUCAGCUCCACUAAAUAUACUUGUGGGCUGAAACCUUGUGUAUUCCAGCAUCUAACAUUGCUUUUCUCAAGGCAGCAGCAUAAUCCCACCUCUCUGCGCCAGCACAAAUGAUUCGGUUGCGACUCAAGCAGUAGUUGUGAUACUUCAUAUCCCAAUUCAAUAGCUCCAUGAAGUCUACAAGCACCCAUCAGAGCCCCCAAGACAGUAAAGGCAUCAGCUUCAAACAAGAUAAUGUUCCAUCUUAGCUACAAGUCAAAAUUCAUGAGACAUCGCUUCAAACAAUUUAAAACUGAAAUCGACAAGCUUGGCAUACACACAAUUAAGCUGAUAGAACAGACACAAAAGUAAUCUCAUUUGGUUGCAGCCCCUUUGCCCUCAUCUUCUCAUACAUCGUUAAUGCCUACUUCUCUCUUCUAAGAAAAGGGUUGUAGAUUAUUUGUGAUACAUUAAUUUCUAUUCGACCUCCUUUAUGAUGCAAAUAACAUUAAUGAAAGGCAUAAAACAGUACUAAAUUAAGACAGGGAGAUUUGAUAUAUAGUUUAGAGAAUAUUUGGGCCUCUUGAAGUGUAACAGCCCAAAGCACAAAACAUUGAAGACCCAAACCAGCAAAACAAAAGAAAAUCAGAAUCAGACAUAAAGUUGAAUCUUUAGAUCAUUCAAUCAGACGAUAUGUGCCAUCACUAAAAACAUUGUAUUUCACUCAACUCUUACACAUAACACAAACAUACAACACUCGACUUUAAGUUCAGGAACAUAAAAAUCUGUAGUUACAGAGUUUGAAGAUAUUUUUCUACCGACUCAUGAUGGUCCUUCAUCAAAAAAUGGAAGAAACAUCAGGAAAACACAGAAAAUCUAGUAUCCAACACGGCUUCAGAAGGAGAAUCUUCUGUUACUAUCAUCAAUGAAUUCAGUAUUACAAACUUCAGGCCUUAAGAACUGAAAUACAGGUGCUCGGAAAAUUGAUUUAGGCUGUAUAUGGAUGAUAUACAGCGGAAAGGGACGACAUAGGGUUCAUAUACAGUAGUAAUAUACGCUUGGUAUAUAUUCAGGUUUUCAAGGGUAAAAAUAGGGCCAAUGCCCAAACACAACCUGCAGCAGGCCCAAGAAGGGCCCAAAUUCAAUUUCUCCUUCACUCUUAACCUAUUUAACUGUGAUUAUUUACUGUUAGCUUUUUAUUAACUCUAACUUUAAAUAACUUAAUUAAAUACCCAAAAGAUGAACUAUAUUAUUUCUGUUAGUUUAUUUUAAUAUAAUUCAUUUUUUAUCAACUUUCAUACUUUUAUUGAAUAUAUUUAGUCAAAACUUUUUAUUUAUUCUUCAAUUAAUUUAAAAUCGUUUUCAUACUUUUAGUUAAUCAAAUCGGUUUAAAUUAUUAUUUUAAAAUGAUUCAAAUAAAUUUUAAUUAAUCUAGUUUUGUUAAAAUACUAAUCACUUGUAAUUAAAUUCAAAUAUUUUAAUUAAGGUCCCCCUUUCUAAAAAAAAUCAAAAAUUGUUCUUUGUUUAACUAUUUUUUUCAAGUUAAUAUUAAAAGUCAUUUUCAUAAUCACUUCCCAAAAAAUAGUCAAAAAAAUAUUUUAACCAAGUUGUAGGAUAACCGCGUGUUAGCGGAUGCUUCAAAUGCCUUAAAAACCUUCUUGAAGCGUAAAUAAGAACCUCUUACCCAUUUUCUCUAAAUUUUUAAAGACUUAAUCUGUUAGAGUCUUUUUAAAUUAUAAGUUUUUUUGUAAUUUCUCUAAAAAAUAAAGUAGCGACUCUUUUCUAAGUAUUUUUCUCAAAUUGUCUUAUACUUAAAGCAUUUCAAAAGUAAUUUUUCUAAAGAUAGUCAAAUUACAAUAUAUAUAACAUUUAGAUCAUUCGAUCAGAUGAUAUUUGUCAUCACUAAAAACAUUGUAUUCACUCAACUCGUUCACAUGACAUCAUAAUAAAAACAUAGAGCACUCGACUUUAUGUUCAGAAACAUAAAUUUGUAGUUACAGAGUUCGAAAAUAUUUUUUACAGACUCAUCGAAAGAUCAAAGAAACAUCAGGAAACCAUGGACCAAAGUUGAAGUCUUCUAUCUUUAACUAUUUUCAUUGUAGCUUAUAUCAUAAAAAAAUUAACUCAAAGGAGAUUUGGACUCAACUUCAACUUCCUGUGUAUAAUAUUUCAAGAAUAGUAAAACAAGUUGAUAUCUAAAUUUACUUUGAAAUGGCCUUCAUACUUGGAACUAUUAAUUACUGCAGAACUUUAAUCACUCAUUAAUGUAUAAAACAUGUACCCUAUUGAGUUUUCUUAUUGGGAGAAACGGUAGUCUAUCAAUUAGUAAUGACUUUCCAAUUUUUUGGUAGUUUAUCAAUAAAUUAGUAAUGACUUUCCUACAUAAAUUAAAUGAAUACAUGGAUUCUUUAUUACCACAAAUUUUUUAAAAUAACAGUUUUUUUUUUUAAAGUAAGGAAAAAAUGGUCAAUUAAUUUUGUACAGGUAUUUCGUAAUCCAACUUGGCACUUUGAAGCUUCACAAUUUUAAUUGAGCUUUAUAUUUUCAUUGGAACGAACUUUAAUUCUUUAACAUGUGUAUCUUGAGGAGAAGAGAAAGGGAAAGUUCUGAGUGGGGUUAAGGGAACCAAAACAAAUACCUUUUAUGUGACAUUUUUGUCUAUAUAUAAUAAUGUAUCAGACAAAAUGCAUUUGUUAUAUACAAGCGGUGGGACUUUGUUACGUUGUUGCUUUCAUUUGAACAUAUUGAAUGUGCAUAUGUGAUUGUCAACUUCAAAUUGACUGAAAAUGCUUAAUUUAUGCUAAUCUCUAUCUCAUCAAAAUUAUUGAAUACACACACAGAGCAAAUAUCUUCUCUACCAACUUAAUUAGUUUUGAUCAUUUUUAGUGCGGAAAUGGGUUAUGUAAAACUUGUAUUUUUUAUGUUAUAUACCUUUCUCUGUCAACUUGGUAUCUCCUCAUCCUUACCUCAUUUAUGCCCCGAAGAUCAAGCUCUUGCUCUUCUACAAUUUAAGCACAUGUUUACCAUUAAUCCUAAUGCUUCUAAUUUUUGUCGUGAAAUAAUAACAGAUCAAGAGAUUCAGUCAUAUCCAAAAACCCUUUUAUGGAACAAGAGCACAGAUUGUUGCUCAUGGGACGGAGUUCAUUGUGACGAGAUGACGGGACAAGUAAUUGAGCUUGAUCUCAGUUACAGCACACUUCAAGGCAAGUUUCAUUCCAAUAGUAGCCUCUUUCAAUUAUCCAAUCUCAAAAGGCUUGAUUUGUCAUGUAAUAAUUUCACCGGAUCGCUCAUUUCACCUAAAUUUGGUGAGUUCUCUAGCUUGACGCAUCUUGAUUUGUCAGGUACAGGUUUUACAGGUCUAAUGCCAACAGAAAUCUCUCACCUUUCUAAAUUACACGUUCUUCGAUUCAGUGGUCUAUAUGACCUUAGUCUUGGGCGUCACAAUUUUGAACUGCUCCUUAAAAACUUGACCCAAUUAAGAGAGCUCAACCUUGACUAUGUAAACAUCUCUUCCACAAUUCCUCAGAAUUUCUCUUCUUAUUUAAAAAAUCUACGGCUUCCAUACACAGAUUUAUGUGGGGUAUUGCCCAAAAGAGUUUUCCACCUUUCCGAUUUAGAAUUCCUUGAUUUAUCAUCCAAUUCUCAGCUCACUGUUAGGCUUCCCACAACCAAAUGGAAUAGCACUGCAUCACUCAUGUACUUACGUCUCUAUGACGUGAAUAUUACUGAUAGGAUACCUGAAUCAUUUAGCCAUCUAACUUCAUUGCUUGUAUUGGACAUGAGUGAUUGUAAUCUGUCAGGGUCUAUUACUAAACCUCUAUGGAAUCUCACCAACAUAGAGUUGUUGGACCUUGGUAAUAACCAUCUUAAAGGAUCAAUUUCCCGGUUAUCGAGAUUUGGAAAGCUCAAGGACUUAUCACUUAGAAAUAACAACUUUGAUGGCCAACUUGAGUUCUUAUCCUGUAACAGAAGUUGGACCCAACUUAAAUGGCUAGAUUUUACAUCCAAUUUCCUAACUGGUCCAAUUCCAUCCAACGUAAGUGGACUACAAAAUCUACAAUCACUCUACUUGUCAUCAAACAACUUGAAUGGGACUAUACCUUCCUGGAUAUUCUCCCUUCCUUCACUGUCAGAGUUAGAGUUGAACAAUAACACUUUCAGUGGAAAAAUUCAGGAGUUCAAGUCCAAAACAUUGUCUCAAGUUGAUCUAAAACAAAAUCAACUAGAAGGUCCUUUACCAAAUUCACUCCUAAACCAGCCACUCCUAACAUAUCUUCUCCUUUCACACAAUAAUAUCAGUGGACAGAUUGCUUCAACUAUCUGCAAUCUGAAAGAAUUGACUGUGCUAAAUUUGAGAAAUAAUAAUUUGGAGGGAACAAUCCCACAAUGCCUGGGUGAGAUGAAUGAAUACCUUUGGAAUUUGGAUUUGAGCAACAACAGUCUUAGUGGGACAAUCAAUAUAAAUUUUAGUAUUGGAAACUCUUUCAGGGUCAUUAGCUUGCACGGGAAUAAGCUAACAGGGAAAGUCCCACCAUCUUUGAUCAAUUGCAAGUAUUUGACACUUCUUGAUAUAGGUAACAAUCAGUUGAAUGACACAUUUCCAAACUGUUGGAAACCUACCUGAUUUGCAGAUUUUAAGCUUGAGAUCAAAUAAGUUUCACGGCCCCAUUAAAUCUUCAGGGAAUACAAACUUGUUUGCGCAGCUUCAAAUUCUGGAUCUAUCAUCCAAUGGAUUUAGUGGUAAUUUACCAAUUAGUCUUUUUGGGAAUUUGCAAGCCAUGAAGAAAAUUGACGAGAGUACAAGAACCCCAGAGUAUGUUUCUGAUCAAUUUGCUGGUUAUUAUGAAUAUUUGACCACAAUUACAACAAAGGGACAGGAUUAUGAUUCUGUUCGAAUUUUGGAUUCUAACAUGAUUAUCAAUCUCUCAAAGAACAGAUUUGAAGGUCAUAUUCCUAACAUUAUUGGAGAUCUCGUUGGACUUCGUACCUUGAACUUAUCUCAUAAUGUCUUGGAAGGUCAUAUACCAGCAUCAUUGCAAAAUUUAUCUGUACUCGAAUCAUUGGAUUUCUCAUCUAACAAAAUCAGCGGAGGAAUUCCACCACAACUUGCAUCCCUCACAUUUCUUGCAGUCUUAAAUCUCUCUCACAAUCAUCUUGUUGGAUGCAUCCCCAAAGGAAAACAAUUUGAUACGUUUGAGAACACUUCCUACCAAGGGAAUGAUGGGUUACGUGGAUUGCCACUCUCAAAACACUGUGGCGGUGAUGAUAGGGUACCACAAGCAAUAACUCCAUCAGAGCUAGAUCAAGAAGAAGAAGAAGAUUCACCAAUGAUCAGUUGGCAAGCGGUUCUCAUGGGUUACGGUUGUGGACUUGUUAUUGGACUGUCCGUAAUAUACAUAAUGUUGUCAACUCAAUAUCCAACAUGGUUUUCGAGGUUGGUUGUGCAAUUGGAACACAGAAUUACUACGAGAAUGAAAAGGCACGAGAAAAGAUAUUAGUGAGUAGCUACCUUCAAGUAUUCAACUUGAUCUUUAUCUUUCUUGAAGUCAUUUUUUAUAUAUCAAUGUAUUUUCGACCUCCUUCAUCCUCAAAGCUCUUACAUUUAAUUCUUCAUUUUUGAAAAUUGCAGGAUAAAGUUUCUGAAGAUGCAGAUAAAAAGCCUUUAUCUUUCAUAGUUUGUGAUGUUUCCAUAAAGUAUUUGUUAUCCUAUGAAUAAAAACAUGACUUUCCCUUCCUUUGAGACUACAUACCAUAAAGUCUAUGGCAUGUAGAUAUAAAUUCGACUGAUAAACAGAAACCGGACAUAAACUUAAAUCUUUAGAUCAUUUAAUCAGAUGAUAAUACGUGUCAUCACUAAAAACAUAGUAUUUCACUCAACUCUUUCACAUGACAUCAUAACACAAACAUAGAACACUCUACUUUAAGUUCGGAAACAUAAAAAUCUGAAGUUACAGAGUUUGAAAAUAUAUUUUUUCCGAUUCAUGAUGGUCCUUCAUCAAAGGAUCAAAGAAACAUUAGGAAAAAUAUUUGCAUUAUUCUCUACUGCCUGAGCCUCACAUAGACAACAUCAUGUGUUUUCAACUCGAAUCUACAUUCUUUGAAGAGCUGAAGAAAGAACCUUCAACUCUUCCCAUCUAAAUCUUGGAUGAUAGAGUUACCCGAUAUCUCUAUUGGUGGAAGGUAGACGGUACCAGUUGAAUUAAUUGAAUAGAACACAAGUUGACCCAAGCAUCACUGUUAUACAAUAACAAACUACGCCUCAGCCCCAAAAAAUAACUUGCAUAGAGACCUGCAAUAAUGUUCAAACCCCAAAAUAAGAUAGACAUAAACAUAUAACUGAGUGAUAGAAUUUCUAGUGAUCGAAAUCCAUAAGGAAUUCAAACUUCAUUUAGGAAGAAAUCAAGCAGAAGCGCUUGCCUAUAGGUGAGCUUUAUUGUGAUCAACUAUUGUUCAGAUUCAUUAAUUAGCAAACCGCUGCAUAAUUUUGAAGUUUCGGGGCAAACAAACUUUGGAACCAGAUCUGUCAAGCUAUGACUUAGUUGAUUUUGAUGAGUCGAGAUUCCAUCACCAAGAUGCGGCAGUUAUCAGCUCCACUAAAUAAAACUGUGGGCUGGAACCUUGUGUGUAUUCCAGCAUCUAACAUUGCUUUUCUCAAGGCAUCAGCAUGAUCCCACCUCUCUGCACCAGCAUAAAUGCUUGAGAGUUGCAUAUAACACCCUGAAUGCUUGAGAGUUAUGCUACUUCAAUAGCUCCAUGAAGUCUACAAGCACCCAUCAGAUCCCCCAAGACAGUAGCAUCAGCUUCAAAAGGCAUCUUCUUUAGUCUUCCUGCAGUUUCCCAGCUCUCCCUAAGAGAUCAACCACACAACCAUAAGUUGAAUCUUUAGAUCAUUCAAUCAGGUGAUAUGUGCCAUCACUAAAAACAUUGUGUUUCACUCAACUCUUUCACAUAACACAAACAUACAACACUCGACUUUAAGUUCAGGAACAUAAAAAUCUGUAGUUACAGAGUUCGAAGAUAUCAUUAAUGCGUGCUUCUCCCUUCCAUUCAAGCUGGGGAAGAAAUCAUAACACGACCAUCGCAUCAAUUACCUUUGAAGCAUAUAUCAAACAACCCAUAAAAUGAGAUCAAUGCGGUCGUCAGAAGUUGAAGCAUAUGUUCUGUAACAGCCCAAAGCACAAAACAAAAGAAAAUCAGAAUAAGAAUCAGAAAUAAAGUUGAAUCUGAAUCGUUAGAUCAUUCAAUCAGACGAUAUGUGCCAUCACUAAAACCAUUGUAUUUCACUCAACACGUUCACAUAACACAAACAUAGAACACUCGACUUUAAGUUCAGGAACAUAAAAAUCUGUAGUUACAGAGUUUGAAGAUAUUUUUCUACAGACUCAUGAUUGUCUAUAAUAAGGUAUCACACAAAAUGCAUGUAUUUUUACAAAGUGAUUGUGUUAUCAAAUAACUACAUGAACUCUAAAUACUCAUACAUAAGUAGUGAUUAUCAUUUAAAGAGCACUUUCAUGGAACUUUUUAAUUGUGCAAAUUUUAUUUCAGGAGAAGUUAAAAAAAGAAAAGGCGAAUUUGUGAAUUUACUCCGAAAAUUUUAAAAAGUGACCUUCAUUUUUUAAUUUUCUUUUGUACAAAAAUGGACUAAUGGACCUGAGAUCAUGCUGAAAGUAUAACUUUACAUUUUAAUAAACAUUUGACAGAAAGCAAAGUAGAAACUUUCUUCUCUUCUUUUGUUUUGUAAUAGAAAGGCAAAGUUAUGGGUGGGAGUGGGGGCAGGGUUGUUAAAGGAGUAAGAAAAGUUCUGUCACAGCAACCAACACUAUAUUAUCCUAACCAGUCAAUAUCUUUUUAGAAUUUUGACUUGAAAUGUCUUUUCUCAAAGUAUAUACGUCAAUUAUUACUUUAUUCUUAAUCAAACUUUUUGAAUUUCAGCAGAACUGAUUAUAUCAAUGCAAUAAUUGAAGGUGAGGGGUUCCAAACAAGUACUGCUGCAACAUAAGGUUGAUGUAAUUUAUUUUGAACUCACCAAAGUUGAGGAAAAUAAGGUUUCUUGAAGGAGUAGCAUUGAGAAUGUGAAACUUUGUUCAUACACCCAACCGACAUAACAACUUUCUGAUUUAUUCAAUCAUGGUUAUCAAAUGCAGCUCAUACCUAUAGAUUAUCUCCAAAAUAGCUUUCUACUUCAUCACAUCCAGUUCCAAAAUUGUGAAAAUCUGAAUCUGGAAAAGCAGGUUACUGAUCUAUUAUUUUGUUCACUUACAGUAUUAGCCAAUCGUGGAUUUAUCAAAAUAGUACUUUUACUUGUCCCAAUUUUUAAUAAAAAGAAGAAGAGAAAGGUGUGUGUAAAGAGAAUCAAAACAAAGAACUUUUUUGUGAACUAUUGAAUGAAAAUGACCUGGAAUUGAUUACUCCAAAGCAACAACUAAACUUCUUUGCUUAGUUUGUGCUAUAUAUAUCUCAUCAAACUUACUAUAGACACAGAGCAAGCAUUUCUUGAUUUCUUCUCUAUCAACUUAAUUAGUUUUGAUCAUUUUAGUGCAGAAAUGGGUUGUGUAAAACUUGUAUUUUUUAUGCUAUAUACCUUUCUAUGUCAACUUGCUUUCUCCUCAUCCUUACCUCAUUUGUGCCCCAAAGAUCAAGCUCUUUCUCUUCUACAAUUCAAGCACAUAUUUACCAUUAAUCCUAAUGCUUCUGAAUAUUGUUACGACAUAACAGACCAAGAGAUUCAGUCAUAUCCACGAACUCUUUUAUGGAACAAGAGCACAGAUUGUUGCUCAUGGGAUGGAGUUCAUUGUGACGAGACGACAGGACAAGUGAUUGAGCUUGAUCUCCGUUGCAGCCAACUUCAAGGCAAGUUUCAUUACAACAGUAGCCUCUUUCAACUCUUCAAUCUCAAAAGGCUUGAUUUGUCUUGCAAUAAUUUCUCCGGAUCGCUCAUUUCACCUAAAUUUGGUGAGUUCUCUAACUUGAGGCAUCUUGAUUUGUCGCGUUCAAAUUUUACAGGUCUAAUCCCAGUUGAAAUCUCGCACCUUUCUAAACUACACGUUCUUCGUAUAGGUGAUCAAUAUGAGCUUAGUCUUGGACCUCACAAUUUUGAACUGCUCCUUAAGAACUUGACCCAAUUAAGAGAGCUCAAUCUUCACUAUGUGGACAUCUCUUCCACUAUUCCUUCAAAUUUCUCUUCUCAUUUAACAACUCUACAACUUGCAGACACACAGAUACGUGGGAUACUUCCCGAAAGAGUUUUCCACCUUUCCAACUUAGAAUCCCUCGAUUUAUCAGAAAAUCCCCAGCUCACUAUUAGGUUUCCCACUACCAAAUGGAAUAGCAGUGCAUCACUCAUGGAGUUACAUCUCAGUCAUGUGAAUUUUACUGGUAGGAUACCUGAAUCUUUUAGCCAUCUAACUUCACUGCAUAAGUUGUACCUUGAUAAUAACCAUCUUGAAUGACCGAUUUCUCAGUUCUUGAGAUUUGAAAAGCUCAGGUACUUAUCACUUAGAAAUAACAACUUUGAUGGCCAACUUGAGUGUUUAUCCUUUAACAGAAGCUGGACGCAAUUUGUAAUGUUAGAUUUUCGGUCCAAUUCCCUAACUGGUCCAAUUCCAUCCAACGUAAGUGGACAGCAAAACCUAAAAUGGCUUAUCUUGUCAUCAAACCACUUGAAUGGGACUAUACCUUUCUGGAUAUUCUCCCUUCCUUCACUGAUAAUGUUAAACUUGAGCAAUAACAUUUUCAGUGGAAAAAUUCAGGAGUUCAAUUCCAAAACAUUAGCUGUCGUUAUUCUGAGAAAAAAUCAGCUGGAAGGUCCUAUUGCUUCAGCUAUCUGUAAUCUGAAAACAUUGUUUCUACUAGAUUUGAGAAGCAAUAAUUUGGAGGGAACAAUCCCACAAUGUUUGGGUGAGAUGAGUGCAGUUGAGAUUUUGGAUUUAAGCAACAAUAGUCUUAGUGGGACAAUCAAUACAACUUUUAGUAUUGGAAACUAUCUCAGAGUCAUUAGCUUGCAUGAGAAUAAGCUAGAGGGGAAAGUCCCACGAUCUUUGAUCAAUUGUAAAAAUUUGGAACUUGUUAAUUUAGGUAACAAUCAGUUGAAUGAUACAUUUCCAAGAUGGAUGGGAAUCCUACCGAGUUUGAUGAUUUUAAAUUUGAGAUCAAAUAAGUUGCACGGGCCCAUUAAAACUUCAAGGACUGGAAACUUGUUUGCGCAGCUUCAAAUUAUGGAUCUAUCAUCCAAUGGAUUUAGUGGCAAUUUACCUGAAAGUCUUUUUGUGAAUUUGCAAGCCAUGAAGAAAAUUGAUGAGAACAUGAUAGGGAAAGAGGUUUUUGAUUAUGAUGAUUCUUUAACAAUUACAAUAAAGGGAUUGGAUCUUACUUUUGCUAGAGUUUUGUGGAGAAAUAACAUAGUUAUAGAUCUCUCAAGAAAUAGAUUUGAAGGUCCUAUUCCAAACAUUAUAGGACAUCUCAUUGGACUUCGUGUGUUAAACUUAUCUCAUAAUGUCUUGGAAGGUCAUAUACCAGCAUCAUUGCAAAAUCUAUCUGUACUCGAAUCAUUGGAUCUCUCAUCUAACAAAAUCAACGGAGAAAUUCCGCAGCAACUUGCAUCCCUCACAUUUCUUGAAGUCUUAAAUCUCUCUCACAAUCAUCUUGUUGGAUGCAUUCCCAAAGGAAAACAAUUUGAUACGUUUGAGAAUAGUUCAUACCAAGGGAAUGGUGGGUUACGUGGAUUGCCACUCUCAAAACAUUGUGGUGGUGAUGGUAGGGUACCACAAGCAACAAUUCCAGUUGAGCUAGAUCAAGAAGAAGAAGAUUCACCAAUGAUCAGUUGGCAGGCAGUUCUCAUGGGUUACGCUUGUGGUCUAGUUAUUGGACUAUCUGUAAUAUACAUAAUGUUGUCAACUCAAUAUCCAGCAUGGUUUUCGAGGAUGGAUUUAAAAUUGGAACACGGAAUUACUACGAGAAUGAAAAAACACAAGAAAAGAUAUUAGUGUGUAGCGACCUCCAGGUAUUCAACUUGAUCUUUAUCCUUCAAAAGAUUACUUCUUAUAUAUCGAUGUAUUUUCCACCUCCUUCAUCCUUAAAGCUCUUAACUUUAAUUCUUUAUUUUUGAAAAAUGCAGGAUUCAAGUCUACUUAGUUGCUGGGAAUGUAGAUAAAAGCCUUCAUCUUUCAUAGUUUGUGAUGUUUCCAUGAAGUGUUUGUUAUCUUAUGAAUAAAGAUAUCACUUUUCUUACUUUGAGACUCAACCAAAUUUUGUUUUCAUUUGUCUAUGGCAUGUAGAAACAAAUUCGACAGAAACAGAAAUCGAACACAAACUUGAAUCUUCAUAUCAUUCAAUCGGACGAUAUAUGUCAUCACUAAAAACAUUGUAUUUCACUCAACUCUGUCACAUGACAUCAUAACAAAAACAUAGAGCAGUCGACUUCAUGUUCAGAAACAUAAGUCUCAGAUGACAGAGUUCCCCGAUAUCUCUAUUGGUGGAAGGUAGACGGUACUGGUUGAAUUAAUUGAAUAGAACACAAGUUGACCUGAGCAUCUCUGUUAUACAACAACAAACUACGCCUCAGACCCAAACAAUAACUUGCAUAGAGAUCUGCAAUACUGUUCAAAGCCCAAAAUAAGAUGGACAUAAACACACAAUUGAUUGAUAGAAUUUCUAGUGAUCGAAAUCCAUAUGGAUCUCAAACUUCAUUUGGGAAGAAAUCGAGCAAAAGCUCUUGACUAUAGGUGAGGUUUAUCGUGAUCAACUAUUGUUCAGAUUCAUUAAUUAAUCAGCAAACCGCUCCAUAAUUUCAAAGUUUCGGGGGAAACAGACUUUGGAACCAGAUCUGUCAAGCUAUGACUUAGUUGAUUUUGAUGAGUCGAGAUUCCAUCACCAAGAUGCGGAGUUAUCAGCUCCGCUAAAUAAAACUGUGGGGUGGAACCUUGUGUAUUCCAGCAUCUAACAUUGCUUUUCUCAAGGCAGCAGCAUAAUCCCACCUCUCUGCGCCAGCAUAAAUGAUUCCGUUGUGACUCAAGCAAUAGUUGUGCUACUUCAUUUUCCAAUUCAAUAGCUCCAUGAAGUCUACAAGCACCCAUCAGUGAACCUUUUAAUUGUGUAAAUUUUAUUUCAUGAGAAGUAAAAGAAAAAAAAAAAGGUGAUAUGUGAAUUUACUCUGAAAAUUUUAAAAAGUGACCAUUUUUUUAAUUUUCUUUGGUACGAAAAUGGACUAAUGGACCUGAGAUCAUGCUGAAAGUAUAACUUUACAUUUUAAUAAACAUUUGACAGAAAGCAAAGUAGAAAUUUUCUUCUCUUCUUUUGUUUUGUAAUAGAAAGGCAAAGUUGUGGGUGGGAGUGGGGGCAGGGUUGUUAAAGGAGUAAGAAAAGUUCUGUCACAGCAACCAACACUAUAUUAUCGUAACCAGUCAAUAUCUUUUUAGAAUUUUGACUUGAAAUGUCUUUUCUCAAAGUAUAUACGUCAAUUAUUACUUUAUUCUUAAUCAAACUUUUUGAAUUUUCAGUAGAACUGAUUAUAUCAAUGCAAUAAUUGAAGGUGAGGGGUUCCAAACAAGUACUGCUGCAACAAGUUAGAAACUGGUGAUGUAAUUUGUGUUGAAGGAGUAGCAUUGAGAAUAAGAGUAUCACUUCACUUUAUACAUAGUCUUUUUCUUACCAACUUCUAAUGCGAGACUUUGUUCAUACACCCAACCGACAUAACAACUUUCUACUUUAUUCCGUCGCGGUUAUCAAAUGCAGCUUAUACCUGCAGAUUAUCUCCAAAACAGCUUUCUACCUCAUCACAUCCAGUUCUAAAAUUGUGAAAAUCUGAAUCUGGAAAAGUAAUUAACAAACAUUGAACAGGUUACUGAUCUAUUAUUUUGUUCACUUACAGUAUUAGCCAAUCAUGGAUUUAUCCAAAUAAUACUUUUAAUUGUCCCAAUUUUUAAUAAAAAGAAGAAGAGAAAGUUGUGUGUGUGGAGGGUUGUAAAGAGAAUCAAAACAAAGAACUUUUUUGUGAACUAUUGAAUGAAAUGACCUUCUUGAAUUGAUUACUCCAAAGCAACAACUAAACUUCUUUGCUUAGUUUGUGCUAUAUAUAUCUUAUCAAACUUACUAUAGACACAGAGCAAACAUUCUUGAUUUCUUCUCUAUCAACUUAAUUAGUUUUGAUCAUUUUAGUGCAGAAAUGGGUUGUGUAAAACUUGUAUUUUUUAUGCUAUAUACCUUUCUAUGUCAACUCGCUUUCUCCUCAUCCUUACCUCAUUUGUGCCCCAAAGAUCAAGCUCUUUCUCUUCUACAAUUCAAGCACAUAUUUACCAUUAAUCCUAAUGCUUCUGAAUAUUGUUACAGCAUAACAGACCAAAGGAUUCAGUCAUAUCCACGAACUCUUUUAUGGAACAAGAGCACAGAUUGUUGCUCAUGGAAUGGAGUUCAUUGUGACGAGACAACAGGACUGGUGAUUGAGAUUGAUCUCCGUUGCAGCUAACUUCAAGGCAAGUUUCAUUCCAACAGCAGCCUCUUUCACCUCUCCAAUCUCAAAAGGCUUGAUUUGUCUUAUAAUAAUUUCUCUGGAUCGCUCAUUUCACCUAAUUUUGGUGAGUUCUCUAGCUUGACGCAUCUUGAUUUGUCAGGUUCAAGAUUUACAGGUCUAAUCCCAACAGAAAUCUCUCACCUUUCUAAAUUACACGUUCUUCGUAUGGGUGAUCAAAAUGGGCUUAGUUUUGGGCCUCACAAUUUUGAACUACUCCUUAAGAACUUGACCCAAUUAAGAGAGCUCAAUCUUGACUUUCUGAACAUCUCUUCGAGCAUUCCUCUGAAUUUCUCUUCUUAUUUAAAAACUCUAAGGCUUCUAGACACACAGUUACGUGGGGUAUUGCCCGAAAGAGUUUUCCACCUUUCCAACUUAGAAUCUCUCGAUUUAUCAGGAAAUCCCCAGCUCACUGUUAGGUUUCCCACAACCAAUUGGAAUAGUUGUGCAUCACUCAUGUACUUAUAUCUCGAUAGUGUUAAUUUUACUGGUAGGAUACCUGAAUCAUUUAGCCAUCUAACUGCACUUCAUAACUUGGACAUGGGUUAUUCUAAUCUGGCAGGGCCUAUUCCAAAACCUCUAUGGAAUCUCACCAACAUAGAACUUUUGUACCUUGGUUAUAACCAUCUUGAAGGAUCAAUUUACCAGUUCUCGGGAUUUGGAAAGCUCAAGAAGUUAUCACUUGAAAAUAACAACUUUGAUGGCCAACUUGAUUUCUUAUGCUUUAACAGAAGCUGGAGGCAGCUUGAAGCAUUAGAUUUUUCAUCCAAUUUCCUAACUGGUCCAAUUCCAUCCAAUUUGGUAAGUGGACUACGAAAUCUACAAUCACUCUACUUGUCAUCAAACCACUUGAAUGGGACUAUACCUUCCUGGAUAUUCUCCCUCCCAUCACUAUAUUUGCUACACUUGAGUGAUAACCAUUUCAGUGGAAAAAUUCAGGAGUUCAAGUCCAACACGUUAUCUGAAGUUGAUCUAAGAUAAAAUCAGCUGCAAGGUCCUUUACCAAAUUCACUCCUAAACCAGCCAAACCUAGCAUUUCUUCUCCUUUCGCACAAUAAUAUUAGUGGACAGAUUGCUUCAACUAUCUGCAAUCUGAAAACACUAAUAGCUCUAGACUUGGGAAGUAACAAUUUGGAAGGAACAAUCCCACAAUGUUUGGUUGAGAUGAAUGAAUACCUUCGGAAUUUGGAUUUGAGCAACAAUAGUUUUAGUGGGACAAUCAAUACAAAUUUUAGUAUUGGAAACUAUCUCACGGUCAUUAGCUUGCAUGGGAAUAAGCUAACGGGGAAAGUUCCACGAUCUUUGAUCAAUUGCAAGCAUUUGACACUUCUUGAUCUAGGUAACAAUCAGUUGAAUGACACAUUUCCAAACUGGUUGGGAUACCUACCUGAUUUGAAGAUUUUAAGCUUGAGAUCAAAUAAGUUGCAUGGUCCCAUCAAAUCUUCAGGCAAUAAAAACUUGUUUGCGCAGCUUCAAAUUAUGGAUCUAUCAUCCAAUGGAUUUAGUGGGAAUUUACCAGAAAAUAUUUUUGGGAACUUGCAAGCCAUGAAGAAAAUUGAUGAGAGUACAAGAACCCCGAAGUAUGUUUCUGAUCAAUAUGCUGGUUAUUAUGAUUAUUUGACGACAAUUACAACAAAGGGACAUGAUUAUAAUUAUGUUCGGAUUUUGGCUUCCAACAUGAUUAUCGAUCUCUCAAACAACAGAUUUGAAGGUCACAUUCCAAGCAUUGUUGGAGAUCUCAUUGGACUUCGUACCUUGAACUUAUCUCAUAAUGUCUUGGAAGGUCAUAUACCAGCAUCAUUGCAAAAUUUAUCUGUACUCAAAUCAUUGGAUUUCUCAUCUAACAAAAUCAGCGGAGGAAUUCCACCACAACUUGCAUCCCUCACAUUUCUUGAAGUCUUAAAUCUAUCUCACAAUCAUCUUGUUGGAUGCAUCCCCAAAGGAAAACAAUUUGAUACGUUUGAGAACAGUUCAUACCAAGGAAAUGAUGGAUUACGAGGAUUGCCACCCUCAAGAGAUUGUGGUCGUGAUGAUAGGGUACCACAAGAGACAAUUCCAGUUGAGCUUGGUCAAGAAGAAGAAGAAGAUUCACCAAUGAUCAGUUGGCAGGCAGUUCUCAUGGGUUACGGUUGUGGACUUGUUAUUGGACUGUCUAUAAUAUACAUAAUGUUGUCAACUCAAUAUCCGGCAUGGUUUCCGGGGAUGGUUGUAAAAUUGGAACACAGAAUUAC
rnacentral:lncRNA from 1 species